rnacentral:rRNA from 1 species
CCUACGGGUGGCAGCAGUCGGGAAUAUUGCGCAAUGGAGGAAACUCUGACGCAGUGACGCCGCGUGCAGGAAGACGGUUUUCGGAUUGUAAACUGCUUUAGACAGGGAAGAAAAAAGACAGUACCUGUCGCAUAAGCACCGGCUAACUCCGUGACAGCAGCCGCGGUAAUACGUAGGGAGCAAGCGUUAUCCGGGUUUAUUGGGUGUAAAGGGUGCGUAGACGGAGAAGCAAGUGAGUUGUGAAAUCCCGCGGCUUAACUGAGGAACUGCAACUAAAACUAGUACCCUUGAGUACUGGAGAGGAGAGUGGAAUUCGUAGUGUAGCGGUGAAAUGCUUAGAUAUUAGGAGGAACACCAGUGGCGAAGGCGACUUUCUGGACAGUAACUGACGUUGAGGCACGAAAGUGUGGGGAGCAAACAGGAUUAGAUACCCUGGUAGUC